rnacentral:rRNA from 1 species
GACGAACGCUGGCGGCGUGCCUAAUACAUGCAAGUAGAACGCUGAAGAGAGGAGCUUGCUCUUCUUGGAUGAGUUGCGAACGGGUGAGUAACGCGUAGGUAACCUGCCUUGUAGCGGGGGAUAACUAUUGGAAACGAUAGCUAAUACCGCAUAACAAUGGAUGACACAUGUCAUUUAUUUGAAAGGGGCAAUUGCUCCACUACAAGAUGGACCUGCGUUGUAUUAGCUAGUAGGUGAGGUAACGGCUCACCUAGGCGACGAUACAUAGCCGACCUGAGAGGGUGAUCGGCCACACUGGGACUGAGACACGGCCCAGACUCCUACGGGAGGCAGCAGUAGGGAAUCUUCGGCAAUGGGGGCAACCCUGACCGAGCAACGCCGCGUGAGUGAAGAAGGUUUUCGGAUCGUAAAGCUCUGUUGUAAGUCAAGAACGAGUGUGAGAGUGGAAAGUUCACACUGUGACGGUAGCUUACCAGAAAGGGACGGCUAACUACGUGCCAGCAGCCGCGGUAAUACGUAGGUCCCGAGCGUUGUCCGGAUUUAUUGGGCGUAAAGCGAGCGCAGGCGGUUUGAUAAGUCUGAAGUUAAAGGCUGUGGCUCAACCAUAGUUCGCUUUGGAAACUGUCAAACUUGAGUGCAGGAGGGGAGAGUGGAAUUCCAUGUGUAGCGGUGAAAUGCGUAGAUAUAUGGAGGAACACCGGUGGCGAAAGCGGCUCUCUGGUCUGUAACUGACGCUGAGGCUCGAAAGCGUGGGGAGCGAACAGGAUUAGAUACCCUGGUAGUCCACGCCGUAAACGAUGAGUGCUAGGUGUUGGAUCCUUUCCGGGAUUCAGUGCCGCAGCUAACGCAUUAAGCACUCCGCCUGGGGAGUACGACCGCAAGGUCGAAACUCAAAGGAAUUGACGGGGGCCCGCACAAGCGGUGGAGCAUGUGGUUUAAUUCGAAGCAACGCGAAGAACCUUACCAGGUCUUGACAUCCCGAUGCUAUUUCUAGAGAUAGAAAGUUACUUCGGUACAUCGGUGACAGGUGGUGCAUGGUUGUCGUCAGCUCGUGUCGUGAGAUGUUGGGUUAAGUCCCGCAACGAGCGCAACCCCUAUUGUUAGUUGCCAUCAUUCAGUUGGGCACUCUAGCGAGACUGCCGGUAAUAAACCGGAGGAAGGUGGGGAUGACGUCAAAUCAUCAUGCCCCUUAUGACCUGGGCUACACACGUGCUACAAUGGUUGGUACAACGAGUUGCGAGUCGGUGACGGCAAGCUAAUCUCUUAAAGCCAAUCUCAGUUCGGAUUGUAGGCUGCAACUCGCCUACAUGAAGUCGGAAUCGCUAGUAAUCGCGGAUCAGCACGCCGCGGUGAAUACGUUCCCGGGCCU